CAAACUAAAGGAAGUGAGUGGGCUACUGUCGAGGAAUUUUGUCAGGCAUUUCAUACAAGAUCCUAGAAAUAGCACCCAUCCAUGAGGAUCCCCACUAUGCAAUGGUUAUUCAUUGUUUGCAGCUCUCCUUGCUAUUCUCUAAAGAGGCUUCUACGUCUCAAAUCUGCAAGUUUUCCAGUCGCAGGAGGAUAACUCGCUGCUAGGCCAAGGUCCAUAUACUGAGAUCAGUUCUUGCGAGAAAAGCCUCAUUUUUUGUUAAUCUAGUCACUCAAGACAGGCUAUCCCCAGAUGACUCAACAAUAGUACUAUGUUCAGCACCCUUCAACUGCCAUUAGUUUGACGGUAAAACGAAUCCUGGGUUGUAAACAGUGAUUAAUCUGCAUGAACCAUAUUGCGUGUACUUAUGCUAACAGGACAUUAAAUAUUCAUAAUAGAAGACUCUGGUCUUCUUCAAGCAAAAAAAAAUUUCUUUGCUCUCUCAGACUCCAAAUAAUAUCAUGAAACAAAUAAUAAUUUUUAUGCCUUGUAUUAUCUUUUAGAUUAAUAAGCACAUGUACUAGCAUACAGCUAUGAAUAUGGCAAAAAUACAAUCGUUUGUGUUUAAAUACCGGUUUGUGGCAAAUUAAUUUGCUUCUGUGCAUUUUUGGCUAAGCCAUGGAAAACUUCUCAAACGUAUCCAAACUUCCCCUCCUUGAAGGAUCUCUCAUUUUCGUUUGCACAUUGCAAUAUCGGUCCAUUUCCCAGAUUAAAAUGGAGCACCAUUCAAAGACAACAUGACAAAGUCAUAGGCCACAACAGAGGCAAUCUGUAACCUUCAUUUAUAAGGGUGUAGGCAGUCGUAUUGUAAUAAUUUUUUGCCUACUUUAAACCAAAGUACAGGAAGUCUAUCCAUCUAUCAGUGUCCCAAGCAAACCAUACCUGGAUUAUCAUCAGGUGGCAUAUCUUCAAGCUCUUCUGCUGUCAAGUCUUGAUCCGCCGAGCAGGAUGAUCUGAUGAAACAUAAUACUUAGAGCUAUGGAUUAAAUAAGCAAGGUAAUACACAUUUUUCUAUCAAAUGUGAAGGUUAAAUGGCCAAAUGACCAACUUUUAAAAGAGGGAAGACAUUCUCUAAUGAGUAUGGCAUAACAGGACCGGAGGCUCCAAAAACAAUACCAGGAAAAAAGCUAUAGAUCAGCAAUCAGAGAGGCAUCAUAUCACUCAAAGCUCCCAAUUAGUAAAUAGAGUUGCAAAUAGCUUACCGGUUCCCACCACAGAGUGAAAAGGACUACUGUAAAUCUACAAGUCUAAUGUUCAAACAGCUCAUGGGUACAUUAAAAUUAAGACUAAGGCAUGACAGCAGUAUAACCCGGAUCGAGCGAGCCCCCUCAUGACCCCUCGCGCGGACAAAAAGAUUCGAGUGGCAACACGAAAAUCCCCCCAGCAACUGCGAACAACAGCAGAAAAACACGCAAUCCGCAAAGCGGUGACGAGAACCAUAACGCCUCUCUUCCUCCCUCCACCCCAUUCCCGCGACUUCUUUCUGCGCAGCCUGGGAACGACGAAUCGCGAGGAUCCGCACCGGACGAAACCGCGAGAUCGCAACGGAAUUCGCUGAAUCCAUCGAUCGCCACCCCCGAGAUCAACUCGACCGCGCCCAAAAAAAGAGAAUGCAGAAAAGGAAACGGAUUGCGACCGUACUCCGAUGCGCACGAGGCAGGCGAGAGAGAUCCCCGUAUCGCGCGUUCCCUCUGCAAAUCCGUGCGGCCGCAGAUCGGCGACGAAUCCCGCCGGCGAGAUAGAGAUAGAGAGAGAGAGAGAGAGAGGGAAUUCGAUAUUUGGAGAGUCGCGACAGGUAGGGGUGUAAAAAAAAAACCGACAUUUCUUGGUCACGAAGCUUCUCAAUCUUUUUAGAUGAAGUAUAGUGUUAAACCUGAGGCAAGCAUAUGCAAUGGUGACAUGAAGAAAAGUCCCCAUAUUUCUCUUUAGCUUGACUAAUCGAUUUAAAGCAGUUUCUUCUAGUGCUUGGAACCUAUAUAGCAUCAACACGAACACGCGAUAUAGCACCGAUACGAACACGCGACACAACAUGACACGACAUGCCGACACGUCAUUUCUUAAAAAUAGAGAAUUUCGACACGUUCUGACACGUUAUAUAUUAAAUAUAUUUUUAUAUAUAAAUACAUAAAUAAUAAUAAAAUAGCCUAGAAUUAAUUUACACGAAAAAUAUUAAAUAAUAUCAUUCAUUAUUUUAAUUUGUUACAAUAAUACACAAAACUUAGAGGAAAAAAAAUAUUGUUUAAAGAAAAAUGCUGAAAUGAUAUUUUUAAAUGUAUUUAUUUGUCAUAUAUAGUAUUUUUUAUUACUUCUUUCAUAAUAAAAGACUUUUUAAAAAAAUAAAACAAUUCUAAAAUAAAAAAACUGAAAAAAAAAAUAUUGACUCCAUGCGUGUAUAUUUAUAGCAAUUUUAUUAUUUCUUUUGUUACUUCUUUUGGGUAUACUUAUAUUUUUUACCUCUCAAGUAUUAGAAAUUUUUAAAAUUGACCCCGUGUGUGUCAGAAUCACAUGUCGAAAUUCUGGACUCGCGUGUCGGAGAGAGUUGACCACAUGUCGGAUUUUUCGACACUCAUUGACCGUGUGUCGGAGCGUGUCGAGACGUGUCAAAACGUGUCAGACACGUGUCAGAAGUGUCGGAUACGACACAAACGCUUCCGGAGAGUGUCCAUGAUACAUAACUUGGAACUAAUGCUACAACAAACUGCCGUCCCUGUGGAGCGACCUUGAAGCCACAGAAGAGAAACUCGAGGGACCAGAGGAGACACUCGCACAUUAUCGAUCGAUCAAAGAAAGGGAAAAGGCAACCCAUUUUUUGCUGAUUUUGAACAAUUCAUACUUGACUUUUCGUUCACAGAUUUUGGCCAUGGAACCGAUGCCGCCUCUUGGACGGAUUUUUCAAUUGGCCGUCCAGGAAGAGAGCCAGAGGCUCGCAUCAUCAAACUCGGCGAAAGGAGGAGAGAGUUUCGCCCUCACAAGCCGCAAGGAAAGGAGAGAUGCGGGAACGAAAACCCUAGCGUCGCACGAAAAGGGGGCGUAGGAAGAAGAGCUAGGGUUUCGGCCCGACACGCCCAACUUCUUAAAAGAGGAGGAAUGGACGGCCCAGAUCUCUCGCGCCGAUCGGGCGGUCCAAAAAGAUUCACUUACUUGAGUGGAUCGGACGGCGGAGAUGGCCCGAAUGGAAAAGGAUCCGACGAUGGUGGAAUUUUCUCAACAUUUGCAAAAAAAUUUAAUGCAAAAGGAAAAGGUAAAUUAUAUUGUGAGUUUUGUAGAUGUCCACACCAUACAAUAGAAAAUUAUUGGAAACUGCAUAGUAAACCCAAAGAAAAAGGAAAAAAGAAGGAAAUUUCUGCAGUUUAUCAAAUUAGUGAUUCUAGUGCUGAUCGGUCUAUAACAUAUGAACAAUAUCAACAUAUGAUGCAAGCACUAUAGAAAUUAGACACCUCAAGCAAGAGAGGAAAUUUUUCAGGUCUCUCUCGUUGCCUGAUUAAUAAUAUUUUGAGAAAAGCUUGGAUAAUUUAUUCUGGGGCAAGUGAUCAUAUUGUCUAUUAAAGGAGGUUAUUUUCAGAUAUACAUGAGAACCCGGAUUUCCUUAUUACUGUGCAAUUACCCAAUAGGAAUGUCACUCAUGUUACUAUUAUUGGAACAGUCAUACUUAGCCCACAAAUCAUACUCCAAAAUAUCCUUUAUGUACCAGAAUUUCGGUUUAACAUUGUUUCUGUGUCCAAAGUUUGCAAAGAAAAUUCAUGUCAUGUCGUGUUUGAUUCUGACAAUUGCUUCUUUCAGGCCCUUUCGACUGAUGGAGUGAUAGGCUUGGGUAGUCUCUCUGAAGGACUGUUUCUUUGGACAAAUUUCCCAAGUAAUCUUGAUUGUUAUCGUUUUGUUUCAAUAAAACAUUAUUGUGUAAUACAACUACCAGUGAUAAAAAUUAUCUUAUGCAUUCUCGAUUGGGUCAUAGUGCUUCAUUUUCUCACUCUAAGUGUCAAAUAUGUCCCCUUGCAAAACAAUCACGCAUUCCUUUUCCUUCUAGCAAAAGCCGUGCCGAUAACAUUUUUUCCUUGAUUCAUAUGGAUGUUUGGGGCCCUUAUCAUACUUUACAUCAUGAUGGGUCACGUUAUUUCUUGACAAUUGUGGACGACUAUUCUCGUGCCACAUGGGUUUUUCUGAUGCAGUCAAAGGGACAAGUUUUCUCACAUUUGAAAACUUUUAUCACCCUAUCCAAGAACCAAUUUGGGAAAUCUAUUCAGUGAAUCCGGACAGACAAUGGGAAUGAAUUUUUCAACAAUGACUGCAAAUUCCUCCUACCAUCUUACGGAUUCUCUUUGAAAGUUCUUGCGUCUAUAACCCCACAACAGAAUGGAGUAGUGGAGCGUAAACAUCGCCACUUAUUGGAAGUUGCACAUGUGUUGAGAUUUCAAGCAUCUAUUCCAAAACAUUAUUGGGGCGAAUGCAUAGUUACUGCAGCCUACCUCAUCAACCGCAUGCCAACUCGGGUACUCAAUGGAAAAACUCCAUUUGAGCUACUCUUCAAGAAGAAACCAGAAUUGGAGCAUCUAAGGAUAUUUAGAUGCCUGUACUUUGCUACUAUAUUGGGCCCUCGAGACAAAAUGGGUCGCCGAGCUCAACGUUGCGUCUUCAUGGGCUAUCCGAACCUACAAAAAGGAUUUUGUGUCCUUGAUCAGUCGACUUUGGAAUUCUUCGUCAGCAGAGAUGUCAUUUUUCAUGAAAACGUGUUUCCUUUUCAUGAAAAAGAUUUUUUUGGAGAAAUUCUAGGCACUUCCAUACGUCCUGAUGACUCCCCAUCUAUAGAAGAAUCGACUCCUGGAUAUUUUCUGACAAGAAAUCCAUAAGUUGUUCCAAUGAUGAGUCCAAUUUCUAUUGAAGAUCCUACACCAGAAGUUGCUAUAGAAACAGUUCAAGAAAGUUUCCUAGUGAUAGAAGCUCCUUCCAAUGAGAUUGGCGUUAUUGAAAGAUCUUCCCCAUCCUCUACUCUACCGCAAGCAAAUCCUCCUCGAUGAUCUGGUCAUUCUACACAACCACCAACUUGGACAAAGGAUUAUGUUUGUGCAUCCCUCAACUCACCAGGUACCCACUACCCAAUAUCAUCUUAUGUUUCGUUUCAUAGACUUUCACCGAAACAUAGAUGUUGUGUUAGUCGAAUAUCGGAGGAUAUCGAACCAUCCAGCUAUGAAGAAGCAGUUGGCGAUACAAGGUGGCAAGAAGUUAUGGGAGAUGAAUUACAAGCUUUAAUUGCCAAUAAGACCUGGGAUUUGGUAAAUCUACCUCCGCAUAGGAAACCCAUUAGAUGCAAGUGGAAAUACAAGAUUAAAUACUGAGCCGAUGGCUCCACUGAACGUUACAAAGCUCGGUUGGUGGCCAAACAAUUUACUCAACGGGAAGGUUUCGACUACCAUGAAACAUUUUCCCCAGUGGCUAAGGAUGUAACUAUAAGGUCCUUUCUAUCUAUUGUAGCUAUUAAUGAUUGGCCAUUACAUCAAAUGGAUGUGCAUAACGCUUUUCUGCAUGGAGAUUUAGAUGAGGAAAUAUAUAUAUAUAUCUCUCAAGGAUUACAGAGACAUGGGGAGAAUAGAGUAUGUCGUCUCCACAAAUCCCUCUAUGGCCUAAAGCAAGCGUCUAGGCAAUGGUACGCCAAAUUUGCUUAUGCUCUCACCUCUGCAGGCUUCAAACAGUCCAAAUAUGAUUACGCCUUAUUCACAUGGACUCAAGGUAUGUAAUCUAUUUACUUGAUGAUAUAUGUUGAUGAUAUCCUUAUCAUGGGCAGUGAUAGAACUGCAAUAGAAAAUUUCAAGAAGUACUUGCAUUUUACUUUUCACAUUAAAGACUGGGAGCACUAAAAUACUUCCUUGGGAUCGAGAUUGCUCAAUCUGAUCGUGGGAUUUCUCUUAGCCAACGGAAGUUUGUGCUGGAAAUUAUUUCUGAAGUAGGUCUUUCAUGAUGCAAACCAUCGGUUAUUCCAAUUGAGCAUAACAUAAAAUUGACCACCAAAGAUUAUGAUGUUGGAACAUCUGAGAAUCAUGAUCCCCUUCUCGAGGAUCCUUCAAGUUAUCAGAAGCUUAUCGGGAAACUCAUGUAUCUAACUAUAACCAGACCCGAUAUAUCAUAUGCAGUGCAAACUCUCAGUUAAUUUAUACACAGUCCCAAAUUGUCUCAUAUGAGUGCUGCUUUAAAGGUCAUGAAGUACUUGAAAGGGUGUCAAGGACUAGGGAUUUUCUUAUCCAUAAAAUGCAAUAUGGAAAUGUCGGCAUACUGUGAUUCAGAUUAUGCAACCUGUCCUAUGAGCCGAAGAUCCAUUACAAGCUUCUGCAUUAAGCUUGGAGAAUCUCUUCUUUCAUGGAGGACCAAGAAGCAGGCCACCGUAUCAUUAUCUUCAGCUGAGGCAAAAUAUCGAGCCAUGGCAAGGACUAUUUGUGAGAUUAUAUGGAUACGGGGAUUGCUCCAGGAUCUUGGGAUAAAAUUGAAGGGUCCGACAAGAUUGUUCUGUGACAACAAUGCAACGCUCAAACUUGUAGCUAACCCCAUAAUGCAUGAAAGAACAAAGCAUAUAGAAGUGGAUUGUCAUUUCACUCGAGAAAAAAUUCAAAAAGGGAUAAUUGAGACAAGAGGAAUUGGAACGGCAGAACAACCGGCUGAUAUUUUUGCGAAGCCCCUAUGUCAAAGACAACAUGCAUAUCUAUUGAGCAAGCUAAGUGUCUUGGACAUCUACCAGCCACUAACUUGAGGGGGAGUGUUGAAAGAUAUGCAUCAGAUCGGAUGUUGGAGAUAUGCUCGGAAUCUCGCUUGGUUAUGAUUGUUUAUAAAUUAGUUAGGAAUCAGAAUCUAAUUUAUUGUGAUAUCACAAAAUAUACUUUUACCUUUUUCUUGUAUUAUCUCUGUACUAUAAUUACAGAAGUUUGUACAACAGAAUAUAUAAUGAGUACAAAUUUCCACAUCUCUCUCGUUUUCUUCAGAAUAGUUCAUCUUCUUUCAUGAAAGAACAGAACUAUCACCGGGCAAUGCAAAAUGGGAGAACGUUAAGCUGCUUAUUCUCUUCAGUUUGACCAACUUAAGGGAUCUGAAGUCUGCUUAAGGAGGUUUCGUGGGUGACUUGUGAAUGCGUGGGCAUACACCCUUUGGAGAUUGCAAGGAAUAGAUGGGGAAGCAGCUAGGAUUGACCUGGUUGACCCCUUAAUGCUAGCUCAUAGCAAUACAAGUUCGCACGUAUAAUGUCAACUCUCUGAGAAGAAAGCUUCAAUGUGGGUCGUGUAGGGCAUCAACGGUUCCUGGUCAGACCACCGACACCUUAGUGGGGCUUCUGUUUCUCUGCUGACGGCAUGUCUCAAAGAUGCGGUACCGAAACUUCGUGAAAUCUAGGCUUUGAUUCGUCAAGAAAUUCCAAAAAAUAAUCUUAUGCUGCAGCUGGCUAGGGAGAUGGUGAUUGCCUUCUGAUCUUCAAAACAACUUGAAAGUACUUCGGUAAAUUAUAGCGUCCCUCCCCUGAGACUGGUUUGGGUUCGUGCUGACUUACGGGACGCAAAAUUCGGAGGUUAGGUCCUGUUGAAGGAAAGCGACUUUUCGACCAGUUGGAUCGUGAAAUUUGGACGCUAAUGUGCAUUGUCUAUGCUUAUUGAAUUGGAAUGGGUGUGACAAUCCACUUUCCGAAGUGGUCAGAUCCCGACUUUGAUCGUCAUGAAUGAGAACAUAAUGAUGCGCAUACUAAGUUUUGGAAAAAUGUAAAGGCUGAAAAAGGGUCGAUAGGCUGAUCAAGAAUAACUUUGAAAGGGUGAUACACGGAUCGCAUUUUAUGUGAAUUUGAAUUUUGGGAUGCUUUGCUUGGGAUCACUCUCACUUAGUACCCGUUAUUUUUCUAUGCCAUUGACGUCAUCGAUGAAUCUCGCGUCUUUAGAGCAUGCGAAGCAUCGGCGAACAACCAGCUAAAAUGAGAAAAGGAUAGAUAAAUCUUCAGUGGCUAUACUCAUCGUAUCCACUGUAACAAUCUUCAGUGGUUAUACUCAUCGUAUCCACUGUAACUUGGUCACGGCAUUAUCACUGCAAACGCCCGGUUUUCUCUCUUUAAAAACUACGGUGAUACAGGAUCGCUCCUCCGAGACUUGAUCCACAAGUCCGAUUUUAUCUGAGCCAAUGCAUAAAAACACAUCGCUCACGCCUCCCGCAACAUGUAUUAAUUUCUACUCUUGAAAGGUCAGAACAAUGGGCUGGUUAGGUCCCCGUUGCUUCAAGCAAGCACAGCAACGAUCACUCAAGAAGGAAGAAAAAAUUGUAAGCGUAUCAGUUUAGCUCUGAAAAACUCCGGAAAUCAGCUGAUAUUACAGCGACAGGGGCAACAAUAUCGUGUAUAAAUUAGCAAAAUGAAUGGACUUUUAACCAUUCGGUCUAAUUCCUACUCUCUUCCUAUGUACAGGAACUGAAAUAGCCCAAUCUCAAAAUGGAUGAAUGUACAACUACAAAUACCUGUCCCAAAUCUGCCAUGGAAAACACAGCAAAAACCCUACAUCAGGAUCAAUACAGCGAUGCGUAUUAGGUACACAAUGUUUUAUUUAUGCACCGUAGAUGCCAAAGCUUUAGCUCGUUCCUCGUUGACCUCUUGCUGACCACUCUCUACCGUGUCACUGACAAGCCUCUCGCCUCCAUCUAGAUCCACCACAGCAGGAUCACCUGUGGAAUUCCUGAAGCUGUCUUGGGUCAAAACCCUCUGCCUGAGAUAUUUCUGGGUGGCAUCAUGUUGCAACUUCACCAUACCACCAGAAUCUGACCCAGGCGAGAGCUCCUCCUCGCGCUCUGGCUGAAUAUUAAGAUCGAUCUGACCUUUAAAAGGUGAACCCGAGCUUUUAACCCUGUUCAUUUCGUCGUCAGAACCAUCGUUGCCCACCUUUUUCUGGCUUGGGCUGCCAUUUGCAAUGUUGUUAUUGCACUGUGAAGGGUCGUCUUCCGGUGAUUUUUCUGCAAGUGAUAGGUUCUGAUGUUGCAGCUUCUUGCGCGAACCUUCCGCUUCUUUCUCCGACUGUUUCUUUUCGCGCCUCAGCAUCAAGGUGCGGAAACGGCGCUUUACGGUCAGACAGACAUUACAUGUGCAUGUUUGCUUGUGUUUUGGGCCCUUUCCACUGGGGGGUUGUAUACAAACAAUACACGAACACCCUGGUCGGUGUCGUGGGUGCUUUGUUGUGGCUUGAGAUGAUGAAGAAGAUGAUGGGAGCACCUCGCCUUCUCCUAAGAUUGCUAGGUUGGCGAGAGUAUCCAACCCCUCCAGUGCUUCCAUAUUCUCUUGUUUAGGAGCCUUAGCUUUCUUAGAAGGUGCUGCACAACCACAAUGAUGGAUUGAUUACGAGAAAUCAGAUCAAAGUCAAAAAGACCACCAAACUAAGGUACAAGUAAUUCAAUAUACCAAACUCAAGUCAAUUUCCUACACAUUAACAAAAUUAAACAUACCAGCCCAUCCUUAGAAGAAAAAUCUGAGUUGAAUAUGGUGAACUAGAAUAAAGAAAAGUUAGGUUUGAUGUAAUUCCGUCACUUUGGAUUUGGACCUUGUACUAUUACUCAAGCCCUUCAACAGAAUCCCAGGCAGGUUCUCUACUGAACCAUAUAGAAGUUUCCAUCAAUUUAGAUAAAUCAGGGUCAAAGGUCCCAUGGCACCUUGCUUUGACCUGAGCUAUGCACCAACCAAAUACACCUGAUCUGUGCAUUGAUGGUCCCCACUACACCAUUCACUUGGGAGUUCUUACUCCAUAUUACCAAACUAAAGGAAGUGAGUGGGCUACUGUCAAGGAAUUUUGUCAGGCAUUUCAUACAAGAUCCUAGAAAUAGCACCCAUCCAUGAGGAUCCCCACUAUGCAAUGGUUAUUCAUUGUUUGCAGCUCUCCUUGCUAUUCUCCAAAGAGGCUUCUACGUCUCAAAUCUGCAAGUUUUCCAGUCGCAGGAGGAUAACUCACUGCUAGGCCAAGGUCCAUAUACUGAGAUCAUUUCUUGCGAGAAAAGCCUCAUUUUUGGUUAAUCUAGUCACUCAAGACAGGCUAUCCCCAGAUGACUCAACAAUAGUACUAUGUUCAGCACCCUUCAACUGCCAUUAGUUUGACGGUAAAACGAAUCCUGGGUUGUAAACAGUGAUUAAUCUGCAUGAACCAUAUUGCGUGUACUUAUGCUAACAGGACAUUAAAUAUUCAUAAUAGAAGACUCUGGUCUUCUUUAAGCAAAAAAAAAUUUCUUUGCUCUCUCAGACUCCGAAUAAUAUCAUGAAACAAAUAAUAAUUUUUAUGCCUUGUAUUAUCUUUUAGAUAAAUAAGCACAUGUACUAGCAUACAGCUAUGAAUAUGGCAAAAAUACAAUCGUUUGUGUUUAAAUACCGGUUUGUGGCAAAUUAAUUUGCUUCUGUGCAUUUUUGGCUAAGCCAUGGAAAACUUCUCAAACGUAUCCAAACUUCCCCUCCUUGAAGGAUCUCUCAUUUUUGUUUGCACAUUGCAAUAUCGGUCCAUUUCCCAGAUUAAAAUGGAGCACCAUUCAAAGACAACAUGACAAAGUCAUAGGCCACAACAGAGGCAAUCUGUAACCUUUAUUUACUAAGAGUGUAGGCAGUCGUAUUGUAAUAAUUUUUUGCCUACUUUAAACCAAAGUACAGGAAGUCUAUCCAUCUAUCAGUGUCCCAAGCAAACCAUACCUGGAUUAUCAUCAGGUGGCAUAUCUUCAAGCUCUUCUGCUGUCAAGUCUUGAUCCGCCGAGCAGGAUGAUCUGGUGAAACAUAAUACUUAGAGCUAUGGAUUAAAUAAGCAAGGUAAUACACAUAUUUUUCUAUCAAAUGUGAAGGUUAAAUGGCCAAAUGACCAACUUUUAAAAGAGGGAAGACAUUCUCUAAUGAGUAUGGCAUAACAGAACCGGAGGCUCCAAAAACAAUACCAGGAAAAAAGCUAUUGUUCAGCAAUCAGAGAAGCAUCAUAUCACUCAAAGCUCCCAAUUAGUAAAUAGAGUUGCAAAUAGCUUACCGGUUCCCACCACAGAGUGAAAAGGACUACUGUAAAUCUACAAGUCUAAUGUAUCCUACAACUUAUAAAUAAGAAUAGGUUUCAAACAGCUCAUGGGUACAUUAAAAUUAAGACUAAGGCAUGACAGCAGUAUAACCCGGAUCGAGCGAGCCCCCUCAUGACCCCUCGCGCGGACAAAAAGAUUCGAGGCAACACGAAAAUCCCCCCCAGCAACUGCGAACAACAGCAGAAAAACACGCAAUCCGCAAAGCGGCGACGGGAACCGAAACGCCUCUCUUCCUCCCUCCACCCCAUUCCCGCGACUUCUUUCUGCGCAGCCGGGGAACGACGAAUCGCGAGGAUCCGCACCGGGGGCUCCUCCCGCGACGAAACCGCGAGAUCGCAACGGAAUUCGCUGAAUCCAUCGAUCACCACCCCCGAGAUCAACUCGACCGCGCCCAAAAAAAGAGAAUGCAGAAAAGGAAACGGAUUGCGAUCGUACUCCGAUGCGCACGAGGCAGGCGAGAGAGAUCCCCGUAUCGCGUUCCCUCUGCAAAUCCGUGCGGCCGCAGAUCGGCGACGAAUCCCGCCGGCGAGAUAGAGAUAGAGAGAGAGAGAGAGAGAGAGGGAAUUCGAUAUUUGGAGAGUCGCGACAGGUAGGGGUGUAAAAAAAAACGGACAUUUCUUCGUAACGAAGCUUCUCAAUCUUUUUAGAUGAAGUACAGUGUUAAACCUGAGGCAAGCAUAUGGAAUGGUGACAUGAAGAAAAGUCCCCAUAUUUCUCUUUAGCUUGACUAAUCGAUUUAAAGCAGUUUAUUCUAGUGCUUGGAACCUACACGACAUGACACGACACGCCGACACGUCAUUUAUUAAAAAUAGAAAAUUUCGACACGUUCUGACACGUUAUAUAUUAAAUAUAUUUUUAUAUAUAAAUGCAUAAAUAAAUAAUAAUAAAAUAGCCUAGAAUUAAUUUAUACGAAAAAUAUUAAAUAAUAUCAUUCAUUAUUUUAAUUUGUUACAAUAAUACACAAAACUUAGAGGAAAAAAAUAUUGUUUAAAGAAAAAUGCUGAAAUGAUAUUUUUAAAUUUAUUUAUUUGUCAUAUAUAGCAUUUUUUAUUACUUCUUUCAUAAUAAAAGACUUUUAAAAAAAUAAAACAAUUCUAAAAUAAAAAACAGAAAAAAAAAUAUUGACCCUAUGCGUGUAUAUUUAUAGCAAUUUUAUUACUUCUUUUAUUAUUCUUUUGGGUAUACUUAUAUUUUGAGCUCUCAAGUAUUAGAAAUUUUUAAAAUUGACCCCGUGCGUGUCAGAAUCACAUGUCGGAAUUCUGGACUCGCGUGUCGGAGAGAGUUAACCACAUGUCGGAUUUUUUGACACUCGUUGACCGUGUGUCGGAAUGUGUCGAGACGUGUCAGAGCAUGUCGGACACGUGUCAGAAGUGUCGGAUACGACACAAAGGCUUCCGGAGAAUGUCCGUGAUACAUAACUUGGAACUAAUGCUACAACAAACUACCGUCCCUAUGGAGCGACCUUGAAGCCACAGAAGAGAAACUCGAGGGACUAGAGGAGACACUCGCACAGUAUCGAUCGAUCAAAGAAAGGGAAAAGGCAACCCAUUUUUUGCUGAUUUUGAACAAUUCAUACCUGACUUUUCGUUCAUAGAUUUUGGCCAUGGAACCGGUGCCGCCUCUUGGACAGAUUUUUCAAUUGGCCGUCCAAGAAGAGAGCCAAAGGCUCGCAUCAUCAAACUCAGCGAAAGGAGGAGAGAGUUUCGCCCUCGCAAGCCGCAGGGAAAGGAGAGAUGCGGGAACGAAAACCCUAGCGUAGCACGAAAAGGGAGCGCAGGAAGAAGAGCUAGGGUUUCGGCCCGACACGCCCAACUUCUUAAAAGAGGAGGAAUGGACGGCCCAGAUCUCUCACGCCGAUCGGACGGUCCAAAAAGAUUCACUUACUUGAGUGGAUCGGACGGCGGAGAUGGCUCGAAUGGAAAAGGAUCCGACGGUGGUGGAAUUUUCUCAGCAUUUGCAAAAAAUUUUAAUGCAAAAGGAAAAGGUACAUUAUAUUGUGAGUUUUGUAGACGUCCACACCAUACAAUAGAAAAUUGUUGGAAACUGCAUAGUAAACCCAGAGAAAAAGGAAAAAAGAAGGAAAUUUCUACAGCUUAUCAAAUCAGUGAUUCUAGUGCUGAUCGAUCUAUAACAUAUGAACAAUAUCAACAUAUGAUGCAAGCACUACAGAAAUUAGACACCUCAAGCAAGAGAGGAAAUUUUUCAGGUCUCUCUCGUUGCCUGAUUAAUAAUAUUUCGAGAAAAGCUUGGAUAAUUUAUUCUGGGGCAAGUGAUCAUAUUAUCUGUGAAAGGAGGUUAUUUUCAGAUAUACAUGAGAACCCGGAUUUCCUUAUUACUGUGCAAUUACCCAAUAGGAAUGUCACUCAUGUUACUAUUACUAGAACAGUCAAACUUAGCCCAUAAAUCAUACUCCAAAAUGUCCUUUAUGUACCAGAAUUUCGGUUUAACAUUGUUUCUGUGUCCAAAGUUUGCAAAGAAAAUUCAUGUCAUGUCGUGUUUGAUUCUGACACUUGCUUCUUUCUGGCCCUUUCGACUGACGGAGUGAUAGGCUUGGGUAGUCUCUCUAAAGGACUGUUUCUUUGGACAAAUUUCCCAAGUAAUCUUGAUUUGUUAUCGUUUUGUUCCAAUAAAACAUCAUUGUGUAAUACAACUACCAAUGAUAAAAAUUAUCUUAUGCAUUCCCGAUUGGGUCAUAGUGCUUCAUUUUCUCACUCUAAGUGUCAAAUAUGUCCCCUUGCAAAACAAUCACGCAUUCCUUUUCCUUCUAGCAAAAGCCGUGCCGAUAACAUUUUUUCAUUGAUUCAUGUGGAUGUUUGGGGCCCUUAUCAUACUUUACAUCAUGAUGGGUCACGUUAUUUCUUGACAAUUGUGGACGACUAUUCUCGUGCCACAUGGGUUUUUCUAAUGCAGUCAAAGGGACAAGUUUUCUCACAUUUGAAAACUUUUAUCACCCUAUCCAAGAACCAAUUUGGGAAAUCUAUUCAGUGAAUCCGGACAAACAAUGGGAAUGAAUUUUUCAACAAUGACUGCAAUUUCCUCCUACUAUCUCACGGAUUCUCCAUGAAAGUUCUUGCGUCUAUACCCCCACAACAGAAUGGAGUAGUGGAGCGUAAACAUCGCCACUUAUUGGAAGUUGCACAUGCGUUGAGAUUUCAAGCAUCUAUUCCGGAACAUUAUUGGGGCAAAUGCAUAGUUACUGCAGCCUACCUCAUCAACCGCAUGCCAACUCGGGUACUCAAUGGAAAAACUCCAUUUGAGCUACUCUUCAAGAAGAAACCAGAAUUGGAGCAUUUAAGGAUAUUCGGAUGCCUGUGCUUUGCUACUAUAUUGGGCCCUCGAGACAAAAUGGGCCCCCGAGCUCGACGUUGCGUCUUCAUGGACUAUCCGAACCUACAAAAAGGAUUUCGUGUCCUUGAUCAGUCGACUUUGGAAUUCUUCGUCAGCAGAGAUGUCAUUUUUCAUGAAAACGUGUUUCCUUUUCAUGAAAAGGAUUUUUUGGGAGAAAUUCCAGGCACUUCCAUACGUCCUGAUGACUCCCCAUCUAUAGAAGAAUCGACUCCUGGAUAUUUUCUGACAAGAAAUCCAUAAGUUGUUCCAAUGAUGAGUCCAAUUUCUAUUGAAGAUCCUACACCAGAAGUUGCUAUAGAAACAGUUCAAGAAAGUUUCCUAGUGAUAGAAGCUCCUUCCAAUGAGAUUGGCGUUAUUGAAAGAUCUUCCCCAUCCUCUACUCUACCGCAAGCAAAUCCUCCUCGAUGAUCUGGUCAUUCUACACAACCACCAACUUGGACAAAGGAUUAUGUUUGUGCAUCCCUCAACUCACUAGGUACCCACUACCCAAUAUCAUCUUAUGUUUUGUUUCAUUGACUUUCACCGGAACAUAGAUGUUGUGUUAGUCGAAUAUCGGAGGAUAUCGAACCAUCCAGCUAUGAAGAAGCAGUUGGCGAUACAAGGUGGCAAGAAGCUAUGGGAGAUGAAUUACAAGCUUUAAUUGCCAAUAAGACCUGGGAUUUGGUAAAUCUACCUCCGCAUAGGAAACCCAUUGGAUGCAAGUGGAAAUACAAGAUUAAAUACUGAGCCGAUGGCUCCACUAAACGUUACAAAGCUCAGUUGGUGGCCAAAGAAUUUACUCAACGGGAAGGUUUCGACUACCAUGAAACAUUUUCCCCAGUGGCUAAGGAUGUAACUAUAAGGUCCUUUCUAUCUAUUGUAGCUAUUAAUGAUUAGCCAUUACAUCAAAUGGAUGUGCAUAAUGCUUUCAAAUGGAUGUGCAUAAUGCUUUUCUGCAUUGAGAUUUAGAUGAGGAAAUAUAUAUAGAUAUCCCUCAAGGAUUACAGAGACAUGGGGAGAAUAGAGUAUGUCGUCUCCACAAAUCCCUCUAUGACCUAAAGCAAACGUCUAGGCAAUGGUACGCCAAAUUUGCUUAUGCUCUCACCUCUGCAGGCUUCAAACAGUCCAAAUAUGAUUACGCCUUAUUCACAUGGACUCAAGGUAUGUCAUCUAUUUACUUGAUGAUAUAUGUUGAUGAGAUCCUUAUCAUGGGCAGUGAUAGAAUUGCAAUAGAAAAUUUCAAGAAGUACCUGCAUUUUACUUUUCACAUUAAAGACUUGGGAGCACUAAAAUACUUCCUUGGGAUCGAGAUUGCUCAAUCUGAUUGUGGGAUUUCUCUUAGCCAACGGAAGUUUGUGCUGGAAAUUAUUUCUGAAGCAUGUCUUUCAGGAUGCAAACCAUCGGUUAUUCCAAUUGAGCAUAACAUAAAAUUGACCACCAAAGAUUAUGAUGUUGGAACAUCUAAGAAUCAUGAUCCCGUUCUCAAGGAUCCUUCAAGUUAUCAGAAGCUCGUCAGGAAACUCAUAUAUCUAACUAUAACCAGACCUGAUAUAUCAUAUGCAGUGCAGACUCUCAGUUAAUUUAUACACAGUCCCAAAUUGUCUCAUAUGAGUGCUGCUUUAAAGGUCAUGAAGUACUUGAAAGGGUGUCCAGGACUAGGGAUUUUCUUAUCCAAUAAAUGCAAUAUGGAAAUGUCGGCAUACUGUGAUUCAGAUUAUGCAACAUGUCCUAUGAGCCGAAGAUCCAUUACAAGCUUCUGCAUUAAGCUUGGAGAAUCUCUUCUUUCAUGGAGGACCGAGAAGCAGGCCACCGUAUCAUUAUCUUCAGCUGAGGCAAAAUAUCAAGCCAUGGCAAAGACUACUUGUGAGAUUAUAUGGAUACGGGGAUUGCUCCAGGAUCUUGGGAUAAAUUUGAAGGGUCCGACAAGAUUGUUCUGUGACAACGAUGUAGCACUCAAACUUGCAGCUAACCCCAUGGUGCAUGAAAGAACGAAACAUAUAGAAGUGGAUUGUCAUGUCACUUGAGAAAAAAAUUCAAAAAUGGAUAAUUGAGACGAGGAAUUGGAAGGGCAGAACAACCGGCUGAUAUUUUUGCGAAGCCCCUAUGUCAAAGACAACAUGCAUAUCUAUUGAGCAAGCUAAGUGUCUUGGACAUCUACCAACCACUACCUUGAGAGGGAGUGUUGGAAGAUAUGCAUCAGAUCGGUUCUCGGAGAUAUGCUCGGAAUCUCGCUUGAUUAUGGUUGUGCAUAAAUUAGUUAGGAAUUGGAAUCUGAUUUUAUUGUGAUAUCACAAAAUAUACUUUUACCUUUUUCUUGUAUUAUCUUUGUACUAUAAUUACAGAAGUUUGUACAACAGAAUAUAUAAUGAGUACAAAUUUCCACAUCUCUCUCGUUUUCUUCAGAAUAGUUCAUCUUCUUUCAUGAAAGAACAGAACUAUCACCAGGCAAUGCAAAAUGGGAGAACGUUAAGCUGCUUAUUCUCUUCAGUUUGACCAACUUAAGGGAUCUGAAGUCUGCCUAAGGAGGUUUUGUGGGUGACUUGUGAAUGCGUGGGCAUACACCCUUUGGAGAUUGCAAGGAAUAGAUGGGGAAGCAGCUAGGAUUGACCUGGUUGACCCCUUAAUGCUAGCUCAUAGCAAUACAAGUUCACACGUAUAAUGUCAACUCUCUGAGAAGAAAGCUUCAAUGUGGGUAGUGUAGGGCAUCAACGGUUCCUGGUCAGACCACCGAAACCUUAGUGGGGCUUCUGUUUCUCUGCUGACGGCAUGUCUCAAAGAUGCGGUACCGAAACUUCGUGAAAUCUAGGCUUUGAUUCGUCAAGAAAUUCCAAAAAAUAAUCUUAUGCUGCAGCUGGCUAGGGAGAUGGUAAUUGCCUUCUGAUCUUCAAAACAACUUGAAAGUACUUCGGUAAAUUAUAGCGUCCCUCCCCUGAGACUGGUUUGGGUUCGUGCUGACUUACGGGACGCAAAAUUCGGAGGUUAGGUCCUGUUGAAGGAAAGCGACUUUGCGACCAGUUGGAUCGUGAAAUUUGGACGCUAAUGUGCAUUGUCUAUGCUUAUUGAAUUGGAAUGGGUGUGACAAUCCACUUUCCGAAGUGGUCAGAUCCCGACUUUGAUCGUCAUGAAUGAGAACAUAAUGAUGCGCAUACUAAGUUUUGGAAAAAUGUAAAGGCUGAAAAAGGGUCGAUAGGCUGAUCAAGAAUAACUUUGAAAGGGUGAUACACGGAUCGCAUUUUAUGUGAAUUUGAAUUUUGGGAUGCUUUGCUUGGGAUCACUCUCACUUAGUACCCGUUAUUUUUCUAUGCCAUUGACGUCAUCGAUGAAUCUCGCGUCUUUAGAGCAUGCGAAGCAUCGGCGAACAACCAGCUAAAAUGAGAAAAGGAUAGAUGAAUCUUCAGUGGCUAUAAUCGUAUCCACCGUAACAAUCUUCAGUGGUUAUACUCAUCGUAUCCACUGUAACUUGGCCACGCCAUUAUCACUGCAAACACCCGGUUUUCUCUCUUAAAAACUACAGUGAUACAGGAUCGCUCCUCCGAGACUUGAUCCUCAAGUCCGAUUUUAUCUGAGCCAAUGCAUAAAAACACAUCGCUCACGCCUCCCGCAACAUGUAUUAAUUUCUACUCUUGAAAGGUCAGAACAAUGGGCUGGUUAGGUCCCCGUUGCUUCAAGCAAGCACCGCAACGACCACUCAAGAAGGAAGAAAAAAUUGUAAGCGUAUCAGUUUAGCUCUUAAAAACUCCGGAAAUCAGCUGAUAUUACAGCGACAGGGGCAACAAUAUCGUGUAUAAAUUAGCAAAAUGAAUGGACUUUNNNNNNNNNNNNNNNNNNNNNNNNNNNNNNNNNNNNNNNNNNNNNNNNNNNNNNNNNNNNNNNNNNNNNNNNNNNNNNNNNNNNNNNNNNNNNNNNNNNNACUCUCUUCCUAUGUACAGGAACUGAAAUAGCCCAAUCUCAAAAUGGAUGAAUGUACAACUACAAAUACCUGUCACAAAUCUGCCAUGGAAAACACAGCAAAAACCCUACAUCAGGAUCAAUACAGCGAUGCGUAUUAGGUACACAAUGUUUUAUUUAUGCACCGUAGAUGCCAAAGCUUUAGCUCGUUCCUCGUUGACCUCUUGCUGACCACUCUCUACCGUGUCACUGACAAGCCUCUCGCCUCCAUCUAGAUCCACCACAGCAGGAUCACCUGUGGAAUUCCUGAAGCUGUCUUGGGUCAAAACCCUCUGCCUGGGAUAUUUCUGGGGGGCAACAUGUUGCAACUUCACCAUACCACCAGAAUCUGACCCAGGCGAGAGCUCCUCCUCGCGCUCUGGCUGAAUAUUAAGAUCGAUCUGACCUUUAAAAGGUGAACCCGAGCUUUUAACCCUGUUCAUUUCGUCGUCAGAACCAUCGUUGCCCACCUUUUUCUGGCUUGGGCUGCCAUUUGCAAUGUUGUUAUUGCACUGUGAAGGGUCGUCUUCCGGUGAUUUUUCUGCAAGUGAUAGGUUCUGAUGUUGCAGCUUCUUGCGCGAACCUUCCCCUUCUUUCUCCGACUGUUUCUUUUCGCGCCUCAGCAUCAAGGUGCGGAAACGGCGCUUUACGGUCAGACAGACAUUACAUGUGCACGUUGGCUUGUGUUUUGGGCCCUUUCCACUGGGGGGUUGUAUACAAACAAUACAUGAACACCCUGGUCGAUGUCGAGGGUGCUUUGUUGUGGCUUGAGAUGAUGAAGAAGAUGAUGGGAGCACCUCGCCUUCUCCUAAGAUUGCUAGGUUGGCAAGAGUAUCCAGCCCCUCCAGUGCUUCCAUAUUCUCUUGUUUAGGAGCCUUAGCUUUCUUAGAAGGUGCUGCACAACCAUAAUGAUGGAUUGAUUACAAGGAAUCAGAUCAAAGUCAAAAAGACCACCAAACUGUAAAGUACAAGUAAUUCAAUAUACCAAACUCAAGUCAAUUUCCUACACAUUAACAAAAUUAAACAUACCGGCCUGUCCUUAGGGGAAAAAUCUCAGUUGAAUAUGGUGAACUAGAAUAAAGAAAAGUUAGGCUUUAUGUAAUUCCGUCACUUUGGAUUUGGACCUUGUACUAUUACUCAAGCCCUUCAACAGAAUCCCAGGCAGGUUCUCUAAUGAACCAUAUAGAAGUUUCCAUCAAUUUAAGACAAAUCAGGGUCAGAGGUCCCAUGGCACCUUGCUUUGACCUGAGCUAUGCAACAACCAAAUACCCCUGAUCUGUGCAUUGAUGGUCCCCACUACACCGUUCACUUGGGAGUUCUUACUCCAUAUUACCAAACUAAAGGAAGUGAGUGGGCUACUGCCAAGGAAUUUUGUCAGGCAUUUCAUACAAGAUCCUAGAAAUAGCACCCAUCCAUGAGGAUCCCCACUAUGCAAUGGUUAUUCAUUGUUUGCAGCUCUCCUUGCUAUUCUCCAAAGAGGCUUCUACGUCUCAAAUCUGCAAGUUUUCCAGUCACAGGAGGAUAACUCACUGCUAGGCCAAGGUCCAUAUACUGAGAUCAUUUCUUGCAAGAAAAGCCUCAUUUUUGGUUAAUCUAGUCACUCAAGACAGGCUAUCCCCAGAUGACUCAACAAUAGUACUAUGUUCAGCACCCUUCAACUGCCAUUAGUUUGACGGUAAAACGAAUCCUGGGUUGUAAACAGUGAUUAAUCUGCAUGAACCGUAUUGCGUGUACUUAUGCUAACAGGACAUUAAAUAUUCAUAAUAGAAGACUCUGGUCUUCUUUAAGCCAAAAAAAUUUUCUUUGCUCUCACAGGCUCCGAAUAAU
rnacentral:lncRNA from 1 species